ACCCUGUUCCAAAGUAUACGCUUCUCAGAUCUGUUUUGCCUUUUGUUGUGAUUGUGGUUUGGCCAACCAUGAGCAGCAACAUGAAGGUGGAGUUUAAGAAAGUUGACGAUAAGGGGAGCUUCUCAGUGUGGAAGGUUAGAGUGAAGGAUUUGUUGGUCCAACUUGGGUUGGAUUUGGCCUUGGAGAAAAGGCUGGAGGAUAUAACAUAUCGCAGUGGAGUUCUUUGGAAAAGAGAUGCAAGGGAGAAAGGGAAGGAGCUGAUUCCCUAGGUAUACUAUUGCUAGUUUAGAGGUGGAGGGCAACCUCUUGGUGGUUUCGGAAGGUUUCGUAGUGUGUGGAAGGGCUGAAAUAGCAGCAGUAGCAGUGAAGGUACAGCAGGACACGCAGUAGGGCAUCAUUGCACAAUUGACCUCGGUUUCUAGCUUUGUCUUCUGCAGGUGCAUCAGAUGGGCUUCAUAUUUAGGUGGAUGACUAGCCAGAGGUGCCUCCACAUCUAGAGAUAGAUUUGGCACAUGUUCAGGGUCGAGGAAUGUAAGGGAAGGAGAAAAUUUCAGCACCAGUGGUGGUAUCGCACUGCACAGGUCAAUGCGGGAUGUGUGAUAGCGGAGAAGGAAUGGUUCGAAGGAUAUGGUGUCAUAUGCAGUGAUGGCAGUGACAGGGGAUCUGAAUAUCCAUGAGGGGGCUGGAGACAAGGCCAGAAAAUGAUAGGUGGGUUCAAAGCAUGUCAGGAGAUCUACAGUUUCUCCAGGAGAACCUAAAGCAGUGAUUGUUGUAGCUGUCCAGUAGAAAGGAGCCUAUAGAAAAAAAAUUGGUGCAUAAAAGCAAAGAAAGACCUUCAGUCCAAAGGGAAGGCAAAUGUCUCAGCAGCCUCCAAGGGAGCUCCAAGGGUGAAAUAUUCGGCAUUAGCGAUGAACUUGCACAGGGUGUUGUUAGGGUGCACAGCGAUAGCAGGGUGUUGCAGAUGGACCAUGCAAGGUUUGUCAAGACUUUGGAGCAUCAGGAUGGAGAUUGUAGACACAGGUGUGGUGCUCUCAAGCCUUGAAAGGCCAGGAGUUGAGCUAUGGAGUUAGCUCAAUGGGUCUGGGACCUAUUUGGGUCCUAGGGUAAGGACUUAUUUGGGUCCUAGGGCUAGGAUCGGUUUGAUUUUAGGAUGGAGGUUUGGCUCUCCACGGAUCUUAAGAUCCAGAGAUUUGGGUCUUAAGGGGGCUAAUUCAUAUAUGGGCUGGAUUUGGAUCUAUGGGGAUGAGAUUGGGUCAAGUCAUGAGUGUACAUAAGCUUGAGUGAGCGUAAUUUCAUAUGGGUAAGUUAGG
rnacentral:lncRNA from 1 species